AGUCGAGCGGGGGAAGGUAGCUUGCUACUGGACCUAGCGGCGGACGGGUGAGUAAUGCUUAGGAAUCUGCCUAUUAGUGGGGGACAACAUCUCGAAAGGGAUGCUAAUACCGCAUACGUCCUACGGGAGAAAGCAGGGGAUCUUCGGACCUUGCGCUAAUAGAUGAGCCUAAGUCGGAUUAGCUAGUUGGUGGGGUAAAGGCCUACCAAGGCGACGAUCUGUAGCGGGUCUGAGAGGAUGAUCCGCCACACUGGGACUGAGACACGGCCCAGACUCCUACGGGAGGCAGCAGUGGGGAAUAUUGGACAAUGGGGGGAACCCUGAUCCAGCCAUGCCGCGUGUGUGAAGAAGGCCUUAUGGUUGUAAAGCACUUUAAGCGAGGAGGAGGCUACUUUAGUUAAUACCUAGAGAUAGUGGACGUUACUCGCAGAAUAAGCACCGGCUAACUCUGUGCCAGCAGCCGCGGUAAUACAGAGGGUGCGAGCGUUAAUCGGAUUUACUGGGCGUAAAGCGUGCGUAGGCGGCUUAUUAAGUCGGAUGUGAAAUCUCCGAGCUUAACUUGGGAAUUGCAUUCGAUACUGGUGAGCUAGAGUAUGGGAGAGGAUGGUAGAAUUCCAGGUGUAGCGGUGAAAUGCGUAGAGAUCUGGAGGAAUACCGAUGGCGAAAGCAGCCAUCUGGCCUAAUACUGACGCUGAGGUACGAAAGCAUGGGGAGCAAACAGGAUUAGAUACCCUGGGUAGUCCAUGCCGUAAACGAUGUCUACUAGCCGUUGGCGGCGUUUGAGGCUUUAGUGCGCAGCUACG
rnacentral:rRNA from 1 species